GCACUUCCUCCCGCCCUGAGGACGCCGCAGCCAGUUGGGUAGCUGCGUGAGUCGGCCAUAAGGACGGGCACGGAAGGUGGCCAGUGGCGUUCCCCGUGUUCGUCGCUGGUCGUUAUCCAGCUCGUCCGUGGCGCGACACCCGACUGAGGUCGAUGGGUCCCGGUUAGGACCUUGCCGUCCCCUCCCCUGCGGUCGAGCGGACGCUCCAGCAGGUGAUUGCCCGUGCGGUCGUCCCACUCUCCGAGUGGACGGUCCUCGGGGGCACUGUCGGUGAGGAUGCGUUCCGCGCGGGUGUGCCGGCGGCUGCGGCGAGUAGGUCNNNNNNNNNNNNGACCCGUCUUGAAACACGGACCAAGGAGUCUAACAUGUGCGCGAGUCACGGGGUCUUGUUCAGGCCCAGAGGCGCAAUGAAAGUGAAGGUCGACCUCGACGUCGGCCGUGUUGGGACUCUCCGUCCUCGUGGCGGGGAAGCACCAACGACCCGUCCUAUCCGAUUCAUCGGUUGGGCGGAGUGUGAGCGUACACGUUGGGACCCGAAAGAUGGUGAACUAUGCCUGGGCAGGACGAAGCCAGAGGAAACUCUGGUGGAGGUCCGUAGCGGUUCUGACGUGCAAAUCGAUCGUCAGACCUGGGUAUAGGGGCGAAAGACUAAUCGAACCAUCUAGUAGCUGGUUCCCUCCGAAGUUUCCCUCAGGAUAGCUGGCGCUCGGAGGAAUCAGUCUCAUCCGGUAAAGCGAAUGAUUAGAGGCCUUGGGGCCGAAACGACCUCAACCUAUUCUCAAACUUUAAAUGGGUGAGAAGUCUGGCUUGCAUGAUCGAAGCCCGGACGUUCAGGAUGAGAGCGCCCAGUGGGCCACUUUU
rnacentral:rRNA from 1 species